CCGUUUCAAUGUAUAUUAUUGUCACAUUAUAUAAAAAAUAUGGUAUCAACAUCUUGUAAUUGUUCCAGCGUGUGAAAGUGUACCGUUUGAGGGAUGGAGGCAAAUGGGAUGAUCAGGGGACAGGGCACGUUGCUGUUGACUACAUCGAGGGUUCAAAAGAACCUGGUUUGACUGUUUUGGAUGAAGAAGACAACGAAACACUGCUUGUCCACAAUAUUACAUCUGAAGAUAUCUACAGAAAGCAAGAAGAAACAAUCAUCUCAUGGAGGGAUCCAGAAGCAGCAACAGAAUUAGCAUUGAGCUUUCAGGAGGCUGCAGGGUGCUCCUACAUAUGGGACAACAUCUGUGAUAUUCAGAGAAACCUUCAGUUUAGUAACCUUGGCGGUCUUGAAGUUGGUCCUCGUCCAGCUUCGGAACAUCUAGAAGCCUCUAGAGUAUUGCAUUCACAUGAUGAGUCCUUUCGCUCUGUUAACGGUGAACUGAGGGAACUUCCACCUGUUGAUUUGUCCAAUCUUCCUUUGAUUUUGAAGACUAUAUUGGAGGGUGGCAUUACAGAUCAAAUGCGUGUGGCCGAGUUGAUAACACAAGAUGUAAGUAUCUAGUCUUUGGGUGUGGCAUGGUCCCAUGUACCAUAUAUUUUUGCUGUCAUUAGCUAGUGUACCAAUUUUCUUGGUAGAACAAACAUUUCAUUUAAUCAUUAACGCGAAACUCAUCUUUGCUCCCUCAGAAGAAUUGUGGGGUUGGGAAGCCCACCUGCUGUGAGAAAAUCCUAUAAAGGGAUUAGUGAUUAGUCUGCUCCCUUCUUGGGUUGAUUAAAAUGAAAAUUGAAAUCACCUCUUUUUGUGUUACAUGACCUAUUUGUUUAGGAGACCUCUUUGUGCUGUGCCCGGCAUUUAUUUUACAUAGCAACUACACUGCUUUACCUGUUUAAAGAGCACUUUUGGCGCAAUUGUAGCAGUUUUUUUUUGGUAUGCCCUCAUUUGCUCCAUUUGUUGUUAGGUGUCUACCAAUGGAAGUGACUGUGUUUGAGAUUUAAAAUGAAAUGAUUUCACUUGAAGUUCUUUCAGAAUAAUUUGUAUGAUGAUCUGUUCUGCAGAUGAUUCUUGCACAGUAGAUCCCGAGAGACUUUCUGAUUUAUCGUCUAAUCUAUAUUUUGAUGUAGGAACUGGUGUUUUGGAUCCGCUUUAUUCCAUUUAUACACAGAUGUUUGCUUGAGAGUCUUCUUUCUGAUUUGUUUUCACAAGAUAACUUUGUUGGACAUCAGUUAGAUAGAAAAUGCAAUGUUGAUCUACUGGGUAAUUUAAGAUGUUACCUUCAGUUGCGCCAUCAUGGAUUCAUAAUGCUCCAUGAUGGUGGAAUGACUUUUUGCUACUUAGCUACCUUACAUGUCCUAAUAAGGAUUGGUUAAUAACUAAUCCAUGCUUCCUUAUUGCUGACAUUGAUUGUUAUCCGUCUACG